CGGGGAAUAUUGGACAAUGGGCGCAAGCCUGAUCCAGCCAUGCCGCGUGAGUGAUGAAGGCCCUAGGGUUGUAAAGCUCUUUCAACGGUGAAGAUAAUGACGGUAACCGUAGAAGAAGCCCCGGCUAACUUCGUGCCAGCAGCCGCGGUAAUACGAAGGGGGCUAGCGUUGUUCGGAAUUACUGGGCGUAAAGCGCACGUAGGCGGAUCGGUCAGUUAGGGGUGAAAUCCCAGGGCUCAACCCUGGAACUGCCUUUAAUACUGCCGAUCUGGAGUCCGGAAGAGGUGAGUCGAAUUCCGAGUGUAGAGGUGAAAUUCGUAGAUAUUCGGAGUAACACCAGUGGCGAAGGCGGCUCACUGGUCCGGUACUGACGCUGAGGUGCGAAAGCGUGGGGAGCAAACA
rnacentral:rRNA from 1 species